ensembl:lncRNA
AAAUGUUCUGGGAAGAAUUCUCUUGAUUAAAAAAAAGAAAGAAAGAAAAAGAAAUUCCUAUGGAGAAUUCCUGCCCUUCUUUCCUGUUUGAACAUUAAUUUAUAGGGGCCUGAUGCUUUGAACUGUAGAUUCUCCUGACCAUUAGGCAAAGGCAAGGAAAAUCACAAGAAGUAGAACCAAAGACUUGAUGAUAUUACUAAGCAACUGGAUCUACCAAUUCUAGAAUCAUUCAACUAUGGACGUAGUUUAGCUGAGAUAUUAAAAACGCUUAUUGUUUGAGCAACUUUGUUUUUGUUAUUUGCAGCUGACAGCAUUCCAACCUGAGGAUUGGUAGGUGAUUUGAAGAUAAUUCAGUAGAAUGAAUAUAGGUAAAUCUCUAAAAAAACUGAAUUGUGAUUAAGAAAGAAGAGAUACUAUUAUUUAGAUGGAGAUGUGGCAUCAUUAAAGAUUUUCUUUUUCUUAUUUAAUAGGAGAGACUGAAGAAUAUCUAAAUAUUAACAUUGCAGGGGCAAUUUCAAUUGAGAGAGAAAUUUAAGGCAAGAGAGUAUCAUGUAUGGAGUCGAUUGAAUAGGAAAAGCCUUUGGAGGAAGGAGACCUCGUUCUGGGAUAGCAAGGUGGCAGAGAUAGACGGACAGAAAGCUUAACUGGUAGGUGAACUUUUUCGCUUUUAUUUCGUUUCUAUCACAACUCUUUGUUUAUUGUUUUUAUGUUGUUUGGCAACCAGAACAGACUUUUACGUUUUUGGGUCCUCACAGAUUGAGAUUUUCAGGGAUUUCUCUCUUUCCAUCAUCAGAAGAGAACGCCCUCCACAAAAAAAGAAAGCAUCAUCAAUAUGCAUGUGCCAGAUGACACCAAGAAAUGAAAUCCAAAAUCCAUCACUGUAAUUAGCUCGAGUACACAACGACAGUAUCUUCUUCCCCCAAAGUUAUGAUUGAUAUUAAACUGUUACUGAACAUUGAAAAGUUAAUAUUGAUUCUCAAAUGAAACAAUAGAUUGAAGGUAUGACUUUUUAUUUAAAAACAUAUCUCUCCUAUAAGAUUCUAUAUAUAGAAUUCCAUGCCUUUAACAUUGUUUCCAGAUGUACUUCUGGCAAGCUUUUUUUGUUUUGUUUUGUUUAGCUAGACCUGUUUUUUAAACCAUGUGAAAGAUUAUAUAUUACCGAAUAGAACCAUUUUUGAGGCUUAAGGUUGAAAUAGGAGACACUAGUGAUUAUAUCUUUAAGUGAUUUCCCAUUCUAGAAUGGAACAAAGUGCAAGAAUAAUAAUGACCCCCCCAAAGCUUAAUUUCUUUACAAAGUAGCCAAAAAAAAAAUCAAAAAUCAAAUUAAUCUUUCCUUACUUUAUGUGUACUGAAAGCAAUGGGGAAUCAUUAAUGCAGUUGUACAUCUUUCAAAAAAGUGAUUAACCAGGUAUAGGAGAACUGGCAGUGUUAAAACAAACAAACAAACAAACAAAAAACCCACAACCCUUUAUUUGGUGUUUGGGCCAGAACUGUAAAUUAUUUUCAAAUUAUUUGCAGUGUACAUUUCAAUGCUCCAUUGAACUAAGAAGAAAUCUAUUUGUUCAGCUGGAAGAUGUUCCUUUUGGCACAAUAUCAAAUUUACAAAAGCAAUAAGAGAAAGUGAAAACAUUUUGAACAUUUUGAGUGUUAAGGAAGUAAUAUCAUAAAACAUAAUACAGAGCAUAUUUUAUAAGGAAUAUUUCUUUUCAGUAUUUUUAUGUUUCUGAGAAAUUUACUAUACAAAUUUGCUAAUUAGCUGAAUAUUUUAAAGGCAUUUGAUUUUGUUAUGAGACACUAAUACAUUGUAAAUAUCUUCUCUACCACUUCUAC